rnacentral:rRNA from 1 species
GAUGAACGCUGGCGGCGUGCCUAAUACAUGCAAGUCGAGCGAACAGACGAGGAGCUUGCUCCUCUGACGUUAGCGGCGGACGGGUGAGUAACACGUGGAUAACCUACCUAUAAGACUGGGAUAACUUCGGGAAACCGGAGCUAAUACCGGAUAAUAUAUUGAACCGCAUGGUUCAAUAGUGAAAGACGGUUUUGCUGUCACUUAUAGAUGGAUCCGCGCCGCAUUAGCUAGUUGGUAAGGUAACGGCUUACCAAGGCAACGAUGCGUAGCCGACCUGAGAGGGUGAUCGGCCACACUGGAACUAGGACACGGUCCAGACUCCUACGGGAGGCAGCAGUAGGGAAUCUUCCGCAAUGGGCGAAAGCCUGACGGAGCAACGCCGCGUGAGUGAUGAAGGUCUUCGGAUCGUAAAACUCUGUUAUUAGGGAAGAACAAAUGUGUAAGUAACUAUGCACGUCUUGACGGUACCUAAUCAGAAAGCCACGGCUAACUACGUG